UAGCGAGCCGCGGUACACGCCGAGGAGAAUUAACCUGAAGAGCAAAAGCACUUAGAUACUCGAAAUUCCAUUCAAUGAAGGAGAAAGAACUAAGGGACGCAAUGAAAUGGAAAGAGAUCUAGAGAGAAGUCUAGACUCCGAGGAUGAUGACAUCUCAAAACGUACGAAUGUACACGUGCAUCGACUGUUGGAAUUGAAUAUAAGUGGAAUAAGAAUCAACGACGAUCUUGCUGAUGACAACGAUUAUGCUACUGACGAUACACGGAUCUCAAACUCUGACAUUCCUGACCGGUUUUCGUCCUCAAACGAAACGAAGAGCUCGUCGAGUACUUAUUCUCAAGGAAAUCAUAACAAGCCACAGAUAUGUUUACGAGACUCCCCGUGUUUCAAUCGUUUCGUAGAAUUCGCGAAAACGCACGUUCGUUUUUCAAAUUGAUUAAAAUUAUUGAAAAGCUAGCUCAGAGCUUGGAAUUUCGUUGUUAAAACAAUGUUGGAAUUACCGUAUCGCUGAACAGCAUUGUAAUUCAAUAGAACAUUUUAUUUUAAUGAAUAAACUGAACGUUUUCUAGAACUUUAAAA